UCGAUCGGUCAUGCUGUCCUGCUGCCCAUUUCUCUUGUGUUUCUUUUCUCUUUCAUUCCAGGUUCCCACGGGCCCAGCCCCGUUGUGCCCUGCCGGUCGGGGCAGACUGAUGCCCAAUGAGAGGCUCGAAAGCCCUGUGAACCCCAGGAAUGCUGCUCCAUCCAGGGGGCAGGCCUGCCCACAUGCACUGAGCCACCGCCGGAAACACCAGCUGGCAAAAGUCACCACACAUUGUGAGACUUGCAGAGGUCGCCACUGCCUCUCUCGUCAGUGAGACAGAUCGGCAAAGGUCACCACGGCUCCACACGGCUGUGAGAAGAACCUGCAGUAAUCGCCACUGUUUUACCCGACCGGUGAGUCAGAUCCGGAGGAAUAACGCCGCAACACAGAUGGACUCCCUGACAGCAAAGCCUACCCAAAGUCACUAUCACAGACUUGACCUCGAGGAUCCUGGUCAUGAUACCUGCAACUUCCUGGGAGAAGUUCUUCUAUAUCAAGAAAUCUGGUCUGAUAAAAACAGUCUCCAGAGUCCAUUUUUACCCCACCCAUUUUCGAGAAUAUCUUGCUGGUUCACUCCUCCUUCCUGGGCCAAGAUCAACCCACAGAGGGUCCUCCAGAUAAUGUCAGCACCUGCACCAAGCUCCUAGGACAUCCUUGCUGGUACCACUUCUCCAGGCUCAAGGGGGCACCUCUUCAGGAUACUUGGUCUGUUCAGGAACUGGGACCCUCCCAUUUUCAAAGAUGCCACAAAAAAAAGGGCCUAUUUGGUCUUUUUCCUGACACAUUAACCUUUGUCAGUAUGAUUAGAGCCAAUGAUAGCAAUCUAUUUUUUUUUCUCCUUGCAACCUGUCCUGUCUACCUCAAGGAAUAAUUGUCACCUAAGUUUUCCAGCAUUGGCAGCUAACCAGAUGCUUCUCCACCCACACCUUCGGCUGAGCACGAACCCACAAACUCCUGACUCUCCCCCUCCCCACAUCAUCCCUUGUCAGCAGAAAGAAGCCAGACAUGAACCAGUGUCCAUACACCCAAAGAGUCUGGGAUGUUAUUAUGGAAGUCCCACCCAAGCCCCCCUCACUCAUCUCCUUCCAAACCCUGCUGCAUCUCAUAAAACCUGUCAAAUGAUGACCCCUCCCCCCAGAGAUGCUCAAGACCACUCCCACAGGGUAUUUAAACUGCAUCCCAGAAACUAGACUGGUGGGUUUUCCAGUCUCCCUUUCCUGUCUCCUCUCUGGGGAACUGAAAGGCCAUCCAGCUCUGUAUCCAUUAAACGUGGACUUUUUCUAAUUCGA